GCUGUGGGUGAUGAGAACCUGACCUAAGGCUUGUAUUUGUUUGGCCGUUUUGGUUCAAAUCGUACUUGCCGAUGAUAGGACUCUGUCAUAGUUACUCUGACACGUG
ensembl:snoRNA small nucleolar RNA SNORD46